rnacentral:tRNA from 1 species
GAGAUAAUAGAGAUUAGGCUUCUAACCUAAUAUUUAAUAGUUAAUUCCUAUUUUAUCUUU